AAAGAAAGAAAGAAAGAACACUAGAGAAAGGGUCGGCAAAACAGUGAGUGUUUUGUUGUUGUUGUUUUUGAUUCUAUCGAUCUCUCACUGUCAGAUUGCACUGCCGAUCUGUUCACAAUCAUAACUAACUAAUACCUUAGCUUUGGCCAAUCUCAUGUUGCAAUUUUGCUUCAAACACAACAUUCAGUGAUUCUUAUGAAAACAGCAGCAUUUCUCGAAAGAUCCUGGAACGGCCACAAUCUCAAGAGGUAGUACGAUUCUACCCGUCGUCAUAUUUCGUCCGCCAAGCCAUUGCGCGGAGAUGUUGGCUCCAUGCCCAUUUCAACACAGGCUCACUCGCCCGCGCUCGCGCGUCGUCGCUUUGCCUUCAUGCCACCAGCCAGCGCUGCCUGUCGCGCAUGCGCUGUUCUUGUUGGGUUCGCUUUGGCUGCUGUAACGGUCGUUUCUCGUCGCCGCGUGUAGUUCGCGUAAUUGCGAGCGUUCCAGCAAGUCUAAAGCGUUUAAGAGGCUUUGUAUUGUUGUUCUCACCUGAUGCUGUCGUUCUUGCAACCCGUCUGAUAUUGCAACUGUCUGUAAGUGGAAGCGUUUCUUCUAACCGCGAGCAGACCAGUCGGUCUCGUUUGACAUGUCAAAGAGUGAAGACGCUGCCUUGCAUGUGAAGCCAAAUCGUUCUUCGCCUUCAGGAUUCUUGCCGUUUCAGGGAUCUGCACAACGACAGGGAGAUAGAACGCCAAGUGAAGUCUACUGUAUGCUUUGUGCAGACGGUUCAGCGUGUAUGACGCAGCGGCCUCCAGCAAGAGAAACUCAAGCACCGUGUUCAAAUGCGGUGGGGACUCUUGCUCGACAUAACAACGCUUAGAAGUGCUUUUUCGGAAGAAGGACAAGUUGGACCGGAAAUGAGGACCUAGGUGUGCUCUUUUGCGUUGUUGUUCACCGUUCGAUCAUUACCAAUUUUUG